AUGUGAAUGAAAACAGCUGUCUGAACAAGUGGUACCCUAACUAGCGCGGCUGGCGAAGAAUGCAUGAAGGAAAUGAACAUGAUGGAUCAUAUACAUCAUACUGUCAUCCCCCAAGAGUGAGACAAACAGUAUCUUGAGGAGGCUCACACUGUCUUCCUGAUAAAAGCCAACAAGAAUGUGCAUUAAAAUGGAUCCUGUAUUUUAUGAUAAACUAUUCUCGCCCUGUGUUAUAUUGUGUUUUAUACAUAUAUACACCCCACCUUUAUGGAAUAAAAAUGAAUUCAGUGGACCUAAGGCAUUUGCUCUGGGGAUUUGGGAAUUAAAUACUGGAGGGCUAGACAAUGUCAAAAAUUGGAGUGGAAUUAAGGAAAUUAAUAA
rnacentral:lncRNA from 1 species